CCCAGACUCCUACGGGAGGCAGCAGUGCGGAAUAUUGGUCCAUGGCCGUAAGGCUGCACCAGCCACGUAGCUUGAGGGACGCCUGCCCUAUGGGUUGUCCACCUCUUUUAUUCUGGGAUAAAGGUGUCCACGUGUUUCUUUUUGCAGGUCCCGCCUGAAUAAGUCCCGUCUAAUUCCUUUCCCGCAGCCGCUGUCCUCCGGAAGGUCCGUUCGUUAUCCGGCGUUAUUGGGUUUAAAGGGAGCGUAGGCCGGUCGGUAAGCGUGCCGGGAAAUUUUGGGGCGGAACCAUGAGAGUGCGGCGCGAACUGGAGACCUUGAGUGCGCGGAAGGCAGGCGGAAUUCGUGGUGUAGCGGUGAAAUGCUUAGAUAGCACGAAGAACUCCGAUUGCGAAGGCAGCAUACGGCAGCGCUACUGACGCUGAAGCUCGAAGGCGCGGGUAGCGAACAGGAUUAGAUACCCCUGUAAA
rnacentral:rRNA from 1 species